AGCAGUCGCCACGGUAAUACAGAGGGUGCAAGCGUUAAUCGGAAUUACUGGGCGUAAAGCGCGCGUAGGUGGUUUGUUAAGUUGGAUGUGAAAUCCCCGGGCUCAACCUGGGAACUGCAUCCAAAACUGGCAAGCUAGAGUAUGGUAGAGGGUGGUGGAAUUUCCUGUGUAGCGGUGAAAUGCGUAGAUAUAGGAAGGAACACCAGUGGCGAAGGCGACCACCUGGACUGAUACUGACACUGAGGUGCGAAAGCGUGGGGAGCAAACAGGAUUAGAUACCCGAGUAGUCCCUGUCUCUUAUAC
rnacentral:rRNA from 1 species